rnacentral:telomerase_RNA from 14 species
CGCGUGGCGGAUGGGGAGGCUCCAGUCUCACUAACCCUAAUGGCUGCCGCCGUGCUCCCCGCACCCGUCCGCUGUUUUAUUCGCUGACUUUCAGCGGACGGGGGGAGCCGCCUGGGGGGGAAGGGGUUUGCAAUCAAAAAACGUCAGCGACGGGUCUCCCCAGCCCAGCCCGCCCUGGGGUCUCCGUCCCCCCACGCAGCCGGGGGCCUGCCGCGGAGGCUCCCUCCGCCGCACUUCACGGAGGCCGCGGUCGGCCGGUGUCCGCCACUGCCGCCGCGAAGAGUUCGUCUCUGUCAGCCUCGGCGGCGGUGGGGAGCGAGAGGGCUCGUCCCCGCGCCGGGGACCCCAGCAGAGCAAAACGGAGCGGCGUCCUCGGCACAGCCGCCGCGCUUCCCUCAACCGUGGGAUGCGCGGACGGCGCCGCUUCGACACCC